UACGUAGGGUGCAAGCGUUGUCCGGAAUUAUUGGGCGUAAAGCGCUCGUAGGCGGUCUGUCGCGUCUGCUGUGAAAACUCGGGGCUUAACCCUGGGCCUGCAGUGGGUACGGGCAGACUAGAGUGCGGUAGGGGAGACUGGAAUUCCUGGUGUAGCGGUGAAAUGCGCAGAUAUCAGGAGGAACACCGGCGGCGAAGGCGGCCCUCUGGAUCGUUGCUGACGCUGGAGACGCGAAAGCGUGGGGAGCAAACAGG
rnacentral:rRNA from 1 species